rnacentral:rRNA from 1 species
CUGCGGCAGGAUCAUUA